rnacentral:rRNA from 1 species
UACGUAGGGUCCGAGCGUUGUCCGGAAUUACUGGGCGUAAAGAGCUCGUAGGUGGUUUGUCGCGUUGUCCGUGAAAACUCACAGCUCAACUGUGGGCGUGCGGGCGAUACGGGCAAACUAGAGUAUGGCAGGGGAGACUGGAAUUCCUGGUGUAGCGGUGAAAUGCGCAGAUAUCAGGAGGAACACCGGUGGCGAAGGCGGGUCUCUGGGCCAAAACUGACGCUGAGGAGCGAAAGCGUGGGGAGCGAACAGG